rnacentral:rRNA from 1 species
UACAUGGGGUGCAAACGUUUGCUCGGAAUUAUUGGGCGUAAAGCGCGCGUAGGCGGUUACUUAAGUCGGAUGUGAAAGCCCUCGGCUUAACUGAGGAAGUGCACCCGAAACUGAGUAGCUAGAGUACGAAAGAGGGUCGUGGAAUUCCCGGUGUAGCGGUGAAAUGCGCAGAUAUCAGGAAGAACACCAAUGGCGAAAGCAGCUCUCGUGGGACGGUACUGACGCUGAGACGCGAAAGCGUGGGGAGCGAACAGG